GUGACAUCCAAAGCAGCACGCUAUGUUCUCACCACAAACUUAUGGAAACAAUCAAUUCCAUUUGGUCUGUUCAGCUCCGAUUGCCUUGGAUUCUGACCUGGGCAAGCCAUGAGGACCCAAAUCAUUCAAAAACCUCCCUCAGAAGGGCUUCAGACUUCUCCUGAAACUAUACCAUGGCUCUUCUGGGUCUCCAGCUUGCCAACUGCAGAUCUUGAGACUUCUCAACCUCCAUAAUCAGAGCUUAGAUACACUGACUGGGGUUUGGAAGCAGCGGUCAUCUUCAGACUGUAAGGACAAACCCAAUGCUAGGGAUGACUAUGGAGGAAGACAGAAGGAUUUCAGGUCCAUGAUGAGAUCUAUGAGUCGCUGCUGUCAUCUUGGAUUACUUCUCCAGAAUUUUUAGAACAUGCACCCCACCUACUGAAGCUACUUUUAGUUGGGCUAUCUGUUAUUUAUAGCCAAAUCCUUUCCUAAUAUACUAUUGCAGCCCAGAUGUCACCUGUUACAAUAAAACUAAGAUCACUAUGACCCCAAUUUUAAUAAAAGAUCAUCAUUCAUUCA